rnacentral:rRNA from 1 species
AGAAUUCGGUCUCGUUGGUGACCAGCGGAGGGAUCAUUACCGAGUUUACAAACUCCCAAACCCUUUGUGAACCUUACCUAUCGUUGCUUCGGCGGGAUCGCCCCGGCGCCUUCGGGCCCGGAACCAGGCGCCCGCCGGAGGCCCCAAACUCUUAUGUCUUUAGUGGUUUUCUCCUCUGAGUGACACAUAAACAAAUAAAUAAAAACUUUCAACAACGGAUCUCUUGGUUCUGGCAUCGAUGAAGAACGCAGCGAAAUGCGAUAAGUAAUGUGAAUUGCAGAAUUCAGUGAAUCAUCGAAUCUUUGAACGCACAUUGCGCCCGCCAGUAUUCUGGCGGGCAUGCCUGUUCGAGCGUCAUUUCAACCCUCAGGCCCCCAGUGCCUGGCGUUGGGGAUCGGCGUGGGCGGCGACGGCUCUCCGGAGCCCGAGCCAAUGCCUGCCGGCCCCGAAAUUCAGUGGCGGUCUCGCUGUAGUCCCCCUCUGCGUAGUAGCACAACUCGCAUUGGAGCUCGGCGGUGGCCAUGCCGUAAAACACCCCACUUCUGAAAGUUGACCUCGGAUCAGGUAGGAAUACCCGCUGAACUUAAGCAUAUCAAA